rnacentral:rRNA from 1 species
UCUGCGAAGAUUGCAGAGAUGCAGUUGUGCCUUCGGGAACGCUAAGACAGGUGCUGCAUGGCUGUCGUCAGCUCGUGUUGUGAAAUGUUGGGUUAAGUCCCGCAACGAGCGCAACCCUUAUCCUUAGUUGCCAGCACGUAAUGGUGGGAACUCUAGGGAGACUGCCGGUGAUAAACCGGAGGAAGGUGGGGACGACGUCAAGUCAUCAUGGCCCUUACGAGUAGGGCUACACACGUGCUACAAUGGUACGUACAGAGGGAGGCAAGCUGGCGACAGUGAGCGGAUCUCUUAAAGCGUAUCGUAGUCCGGAUCGCAGUCUGCAACUCGACUGCGUGAAUCGGGAAUCGCUAA